rnacentral:rRNA from 1 species
CCGGCGCAUGGCGGCGCGGGAAAUCGAUUCACCCGGCCCGGACACGGACAGGAUUGACAGAUUGAUAGCUCUUUCUCGAUUCCGUGGGUGGUGGUGCAUGGCCGUUCUUAGUUGGUGGAGCGAUUUGUCUGGUUAAUUCCGAUAACGAACGAGACUCUGGCAUGCUAACUAGUUACGCGACCCCCGAACGGUCGGCGUCCCCCAACUUCUUAGAGGGACAAGUGGCGUUCAGCCACCCGAGAUUGAGCAAUAACAGGUCUGUGAUGCCCUUAGAUGUCCGG